rnacentral:rRNA from 1 species
UACAGAGGUCUCAAGCGUUGUUCGGAUUCAUUGGGCGUAAAGGGUGCGUAGGCGGCGCGGUAAGUCGGAUGUGAAAUCUCGGAGCUUAACUCCGAAACUGCAUUCGAUACUGCCGUGCUUGAGGACUGGAGAGGAGACUGGAAUUUACGGUGUAGCGGUGAAAUGCGUAGAUAUCGUAAGGAAGACCAGUGGCGAAGGCGGGUCUCUGGACAGUUCCUGACGCUGAGGCACGAAAGCCAGGGGAGCGAACGGG